ensembl:lncRNA
AUGACUGGAUCUGGAGACAGGUUGAGCUCUGGAGAUCUACCUGGAUCUGGAGACUUAUCUGGAUCUGGAGGCGUGUCUGGAUCUGGAGACUUGUCUGGAUCUGGAGACACAGUCAUCUCUGGAGAUCUAUCUGGAUCUGGAGAAUUUUCUGGAGAUCUAUCUGGAUCUGGAGAAUUAUCUGGAUCUGGAGGCUUGUUUGGAUCUGGAGGCCUGUCUGGAUCUGGAGACACAGUCAUCUCUGGAGAUCUAUCUGGAUCUGGAGAAUUAUCUGGAUCUGGAGACUUGUUUGGAUCUGGAGGCCUGUCUGGAUCUGGAGAAUUAUCUGGAUCUGGAAACUUGUUUGGAUCUGGAGGCCUGUCUGGAUCUGGAGAAUUAACUGGAUCUGGAGGCUUGUCUGGAUCUGGAGAAUUAUCUGGAUCUGGUGACUUAUUUGGAUCUGGAGGCCUGUCUGGAUCUGGAGAAUUAUCUGGAUCUGGAGACUCGGCUGGCAGUGCCAGUGCUGACCUGCACAGUGGAGAAUUAGGUAUCAGCAGCACAGAUUCUUCUGGAUCAGCUCAAAGUGGAGAUGGAUCCGGCAUCACUGUUGUAUUUUCGGGCAUCGACAGCUCCUUCUCUGGAGAGGGCUUGGCUUCAGGUGGACUCCAAGAAGCUGGAGAGGGGAGCACGGGAAUCUUCAUCUUCCAUUCAUCUCAGGUCGGCUCUGGAGAGCUCAGUGGUAGCGGGGACUUGUCCGGUUCUGGAUCCGGCUCCGGUCUGGGCUCCGUUCUGGGCUCCGACCUAAGCGGCUCAUCCGCAGAUGGCUCUGGAGAAAGUGGACAGUUCUCUGGUUUCAUCACCAACCAGGACUUUUCUGGGUCAAGUGGGUCCUCAUCAGGAUUCUCCUCUGGCAGCGCUAGCGGACACUCGGGAGAGAUUUCUGGAAGCGGGGACGCACAGAUCUUACUGCUCGAUCAUGAACUGAUCGAUGCCUCCACUCGUGUUACCCACAAGGAGCAUGAGCUUGGCGGAGGCCCUCUGGCGUUUAGUGGCUCCGGAGACAUUUCAGGAUCUGGGAUUCUCAGCGGCUCUGGAAGUGGCUCUGGGUUCUUCUCGGGUGUGACCCUUGUUGGGUCGGGGUUCACUGACCUUACAGUAUCAUCCUUUGGAGAGCAGGAGGCCUCCGGGUUUCUACUCUACACCUCUGGACAUGGAAGUGGUGGACAUUUGUCUGGAUUUGGACGCUCAAGUUUCCUCUCCGGGUCUGGAUCGGCAAUGUCUCAGUCGGAAUUGUCUGGAUCGGAAAUGUCUGGAUUGGAAAUGUCUGGAUCAGGACUAUCUGAAUCAGGAAUGUUUGGAUCAGGAAUGUCUGGAUCAGGACCAUCUGGAUCAGGACUAUCUGAAUCAGGAAUGUCUGAUUCUGAGUCCUCGAGUAGAGAAGAAGGAAGUGUUACAUUCGUUACUGGGGAUAUUCUGACGGAGGCAUCUGGAGACACCACACUGGCCAUGGAGCUCGGACGGGGGUCCUUAGAGUACAGCGGAGAAGGAAGCAGUAGCAGCAGAAGCUUCCACUCUGGCAGCGGAGACACACACCGGUUCACAACCAGUGGCUCGGCAGAUUCCUCUGGAGAUGCGCCACACGUGGUGCUGCCCUCUCCAUCCAGUGAUUGGGCAGCAACAGAAAGCACCACGCCGCCAGAGGAGGCCCUUAGUGGGGGGGAACUGACGCAGACCCCUGGUGACAUCCAUGGGACUCCCUCCCCUGUGCUCGCCCCGGCAGGACUGGCUGCUCCUCCCACUGCGAGUACACCAGCCUCGGUUCAGACACCAGGCGUUGCUGAAGGAACGGAUUCGGUAGAAGGUAGGUCAACCUAUUCUGGAUUCUCUCCGUCAUUAGCCGGCAGCAACCUGCGGUUCUGCCCAGUAAAACCCGCCAUACUUGGGCAAACUUAA